GUUGGCCGUGGUGAACACUUCCGCC
rnacentral:miRNA from 1 species